rnacentral:rRNA from 1 species
UACGUAGGGGGCGAGACGUUGUCCGGAAUUAUUGGGCGUAAAGAGCUUGUAGGCGGUUUGUCGCGUCUGCCCGUGAAAAUUUCGAGGCUCAACCUCGAACUUGCGGUGGGUACGGGCAGACUAGAGUGUGGUAGGGGAGACUGGAAUUCCUGGUGUAGCGGUGAAAUGCGCAGAUAUCAGGAGGAACACCGAUGGCGAAGGCAGGGCUCUGGGCCACUACUGACGCUGAGAAGCGAAAGCAUGGGGAG